AGUCCAGCCGGCCCGGCCCUGCCCUGCCCUGCCCUGCCCGGCCCUGCCCUGCACUGCCCGGCCCCGCACGGGCGGCGCGAUGUGAGGCGUCCGAGCCCAGAGCCUCCGCCUGGCAUCAGCUCCACGCAGCCCAGCGCCGGCACGCGCGAGGCCCCCCUUCUGCAGAGGCCGGGCUGGAGGAGAAGAUGGCGGCCAAGCAGCCCCCGCCUCUGAUGAAGAAGCACAGCCAGACGGACCUCGUGAGCCGCCUGAAGACCCGCAAGAUCCUCGGCGUGGGCGGGGAGGAUGACGACGGGGAGGUGCAUCGCUCCAAGAUCAGCCAGGUCUUAGGCAAUGAAAUCAAGUUUACCAUUCGGGAGCCUUUGGGGCUCAGGGUCUGGCAGUUCGUCUCUGCUGUGCUCUUCUCCGGCAUUGCCAUCAUGGCGCUUGCCUUCCCUGACCAGCUCUAUGAUGCGGUCUUUGAUGGAGCCCAGGUGACCAGCAAGACCCCCAUCCGCCUCUACGGCGGUGCCCUCCUCAAUGCUGCAGCCCACACCCCAGCCUCUGAUGAAGCUCUCUGCUGGGGAUGUGCUGCCAUCUUGUGGCCAUUGGUGGAAUACACCCAGUGGGUUGGAACUUGCAGUUGCCACCAUCUGCAAGGAGCGCUCAUAAGCAUCUCCCUGAUCAUGUGGAACGCUCUCUACACGGCUGAGAA
rnacentral:sRNA from 1 species